rnacentral:rRNA from 1 species
UACGUAGGGGGCUAGCGUUGUCCGGAUUUAUUGGGCGUAAAGAGCGUGUAGGCGGCCAGGUAGGUCUGCUGUGAAAACUCGAGGCUCAACCUCGAGAUGUCGGCGGAAACCAUCUGGCUAGAGUCCGGAAGAGGAAAGUGGAAUUCCUGGUGUAGCGGUGAAAUGCGCAGAUAUCAGGAAGAACACCCGUGGCGAAGGCGGCUUUCUGGGACGGUACUGACGCUGGAGACGCGAAAGCGUGGGGAGCGAACAGG